rnacentral:rRNA from 1 species
GCAUCCUUACACAUGCAANUCGAACGGUACAGGUCUUCGGAUGCUGACGAGUGGCGAACGGGUGAGUAAUACAUCGGAACGUGCCCGAUCGUGGGGGAUAACGGAGCAGAAAGCUUUGCUAAUACCGCAUACAGAUCUACGGAUGAAAGCGGGGGAUCGCAAGACCUCGCGCGGACGGAGCGGCCGAUGGCAGAUUAGGUAGUUGGUGGGAUAAAAGCUUACCAAGCCGACGAUCUGUAGCUGGUCUGAGAGGAUGAUCAGCCACACUGGGACUGAGACACGGCCCAGACUCCUACGGGAGGCAGCAGUGGGGAAUUUUGGACAAUGGGGGCAACCCUGAUCCAGCCAUGCCGCGUGCAGGAUGAAGGCCUUCGGGUUGUAAACUGCUUUUGUACGGAACGAAAAGACUCUGGUUAAUACCUGGGGUCCAUGACGGUACCGUAAGAAUAAGCACCGGCUAACUACGUGCCAGCAGCCCGCGGUAAUACCUUAGG